rnacentral:rRNA from 1 species
UUGCACGCUGGCGGCAGGCCUAACACAUGCAAGUCGAGCGGAUGAAGGGAGCUUGCUCCUGGAUUCAGCGGCGGACGGGUGAGUAAUGCCUAGGAAUCUGCCUGGUAGUGGGGGAUAACGUCCGGAAACGGGCGCUAAUACCGCAUACGUCCUGAGGGAGAAAGUGGGGGAUCUUCGGACCUCACGCUAUCAGAUGAGCCUAGGUCGGAUUAGCUAGUUGGUGGGGUAAAGGCCUACCAAGGCGACGAUCCGUAACUGGUCUGAGAGGAUGAUCAGUCACACUGGAACUGAGACACGGUCCAGACUCCUACGGGAGGCAGCAGUGGGGAAUAUUGGACAAUGGGCGAAAGCCUGAUCCAGCCAUGCCACGUGUGUGAAGAAGGUCUUCGGAUUGUAAAGCACUUUAAGUUGGGAGGAAGGGCAGUAAGUUAAUACCUUGCUGUUUUGACGUUACCAACAGAAUAAGCACCGGCUAACUUCGUG